UGAAAAAUUACUUGUAAUAUCCCUUUAGUCAUUUCCCGAAUCGGAAGCUAACUUCAGCUUCGUAUCUCACGAGACAUUGUAGAAGAACUCGGACUUGUAGAGAAGCUGGAUCCACCAUUACCUGUUCUGGGUAUCACCGGUCAAAGAAUCACAGCCAUCACUCAUUGGGUCAGCAAUAGGCAUGGACUGAAUACCGGUUUCACGGUAUACCACGAGAGAAAGAGGUGAAAUCCUUCCGCUCGUGUUCAGACUUUGACCCCGCCCCCGCGCACCCCGUAGCUCUUCAAGUAGCACUCAGCUGCGGCCAGUUUUGCAGAUUGCAAGAUGGCGGAAGGAGGCGAGGAUCUCCCAGAACUUCCCCCCCGUCUAAACGAAUUAAAUCGGCUAUAUGGGGAUACUUUGGCUACCGUAGAAAAACAGAUGGCAACGGUUUGGAGGAAGAAGGUAAUCCUACAUGCAAAACAUGCUUGCGGAGAGUGGCAGCCAAAGGAGGCAACACGUCGAACAUGAUAGCACACCUACGAGAGCACCACCCGUCACUGUUUGCUACAUACAAGAAUAACGAUGGCUCUGGCGGCUACAAGUCAUAUAAAGCACCUCAAGUAUCACCUCAAGAAUCACCUGCAGCCACUGCUGACUAAGAACAGGAAACCAGCACUUCCACUGCCUCCUUUGCUGGUACAAAAAAGAAAGACAAAUCACUGUCUUGUUUGCUGAAAGAAAUAACAUCAGCAAAACAGCAGAGAGUUCAAGCUGUAGAUGGCUUACCAAAAGAGAGAGUGAAA